UGUCAGUGUCAUCAGUGGGGGAGGGGCCUGCCCUGCUCGCCCUAAUUGAAUAUUGUGGGCCAGGAGAGAUGACCAAGAACUGCUGCAAGGAUUUUUCUUUCACAGACCCUGCAAGAGUCUCACCAAUAGUGCUGCACAAAGUACUGACACAGGCAGCCUCUGCGACGCCACUGGACGUGACGUCAUCUCCAGAGUAAACAGCCAGGAAAUGAACCCUCUCAGCAAGCAGAGCAGAGCGCGCAGGCUGUUCUGGAGAGGAAAUGCGCGCGCCCUUUUCCAGAUACCCAGAGAGCAUGUCUCACUCAAGCGAACCUGAGACUGAACCUGGAUGGAAACUGCUGUACCGCCUCACAUCGAACAAUCUCACCGCCAUUGUCGAGCUGUCAACGGACUCGUGUAAUUAUCCUCUUGAAAAGUAUCGCGCUCCAUUAUCCACCAAGUAGGCUAUGCGUUAUAGGUGCUCCGAGGCAACACAUGACGGUAAAUGUAAAAAUCCUGAUACUGUUUUUUUGUUCCUUGUCUGGAUGCCUGGAAGCUUACAGAGUGGGACAUCUCUCAAGACGUGAUUUCCCAAGCUUCAGUGUCAAGAGGGAAGGAGAGUGGAAUAAAAACUGGUCCCCUUUAAAAGUUGUCAUUUGUAAAUCCCCACCACUGUCACAGCAGAAGGGGGUGAGUGCGCGUGCGUGCGUGUCUGUGUGUGCGUGAUAAAAUAACCAAAACAAACCAAAUAAAAAGCAGAUGCCUAGUCUACUACACGGCGUCUGAUUCAUAAAUGUUGGUGGUAGUAUGGUGGCUGGUAGUUUUGCCUGGUGGCGGGCACAGCAGAAGACUGGAGAGAUCAUUUGUCAGGGAACGCUGAUUAAAAUCAGAAGACAUCACACAUUUCACCGAGGGUAAAGCUGUCCAAACAGCCGCGAGGCGCGGAUCCAGGGUGAACCAGAGGACACCGCCUCGGGCAGCGGGCCUCGCCCGGCACUCUCUCUACCCGCUGGAGCUACUUCACUCCAGUCACCACUGGAAUACAUUAUUAUCAUCUUCAUGAAGACGGAGACAUUUUUUUUUUAAAGCGAAGGAGAGAGAAACGCAGUCGGACUUUCAUGUGUGUUACAGGAUCAUUUAAAUGUAAUCAACGAACAGCUAUUUAUUAUUAUUACUAUUAAUAAUGAUAAUAAUAAUAAUAACAAUGCUUUUCAUAUAUGCUGAAAUAGAAAACAAAAUACACCGAAAACAGGCAUUUUCAAAUAAUUCAAAACGAUAUCAUGCAUGACAAAAUUUUAAACCUCGAGUUGGGGCGUGUGGCAUAUAGCCUAUAAAUAUAGGCUACAGGUAUAAGAUGACUAAUGCCACAAUAUUCUCUGAUCUUUUCAAGAACAACGCUUCUUGUUGUACUCAAUUAACUCUGUGAACCAGUUCAGAUUCUUAGAACCAAAACGAGGGCGUGAAAUUAUUCUCGGUGUGAAUGAAACUUGAAAAAUGAGGUGUAUUUCUUAGAAUGAUUCAAAUGAGAAAAGAUUUUGGAACAUUUUACCUCGAGUACAGAUUAUGUUUUCGGUAAUGCUUUAGCUUCAGAAACAAGAAAAAUAUAUGAAGGUACUCUAUCAAUUGAGUGAGAGAGAUGCUUAUCCGUGUGAUCGCUGUUCACCUCCUCUCUCUUAACGGCGGCAUCGCCAGGCCCACACCGCCUCCAUUUGGAUGCUACUGUUUUCGGUUACUCUGCUUUAAACAACAUCAAAUGUAGUGCUCUUAUGGCGUAUUUUACCAAAUAAAUCAAUUGACAGUU